rnacentral:rRNA from 1 species
AACUAACGCUGGCGGCGUGCCUAACACAUGCAAGUCGUACGAGAAAGCCGGCUUCGGCUGGUGAGUAAAGUGGCGCACGGGUGAGUAACGCGUGGAUAAUCUGCCCUUAAGUGUGGAAUAACGUACCGAAAGGUGCGCUAAUACCGCAUAAUGCCUGGCAACACAAGUUGUCCGGCCAAAGAAGGCCUCUGUUUACAAGCUUUCGCUUCAGGAUGAGUCCGCGUACCAUUAGCUUGUUGGUGGGGUAAUGGCCUACCAAGGCUGCGAUGGUUAGCUGGUCUGAGAGGAUGAUCAGCCACACUGGAACUGAGACACGGUCCAGACUCCUACGGGAGGCAGCAGUGAGGAAUAUUGCGCAAUGGGGGCAACCCUGACGCAGCAAACGCCGCGUGAGUGAGGAAGGUUUUCGGACUGUAAAGCUCUGUCGAGCGGGAAGAAGUGUACCAUGGCUAAAUCCAUGAUAUUGACGGUACCG